UACGAGGGGGGCAAGCGUUGUUCGGAUUUAUUGGGCGCAAAGGGUGCGUAGGCGGUUUGGCAAGUCUUGUGUGAAAUCUUUGGGCUCAACCCAAAGUCUGCAUAAGAAACUGCCGGGCUUGAGUAUGGGAGAGGUGAGUGGAAUUUCCGGUGGAGCGGUGAAAUGCGUAGAGAUCGGAAAGAACACCAACGGCGAAAGCACUCUGCUGGGCCGACACUGACACUGAGAGACGAAAGCUAGGGGAGCGAAUGGG
rnacentral:rRNA from 1 species